rnacentral:rRNA from 1 species
CCUACGGGAGGCAGCAGUGGGGAAUAUUGGGCAAUGGGCGAAAGCCUGACCCAGCAACGCCGCGUGAAGGAAGAAUGCUUUAGGGUUGUAAACCCCUUUUCGCCGGGACGAAAAAGCCGGCGGUACCUGAGGAAUAAGCUACGGCUAACUACGUGCCAGCCGCCGCGGUAAUACGUAGGCGGGAGGCGUUAUCCGGAUUUACUGGGGGUAAAGGGGGCGGAGACGGCAAUGCAAGCCAGGAGUGAAAGCCCGGGGCCUAACCCCGGGACUGCUCUUGGAACUGCGGGGCUUGAGUGCAGGAGGGGUAGGCGGAAUUCGUGGUGUAGCGGUGAAAUGCGUAGAUAUCAGGAGGAACACCGGUGGCGAAGGCGGCCUACUGGACUGCAACUGACGUUGAGGCCCGAAAGCGUGGGGAGCAAACAGGAUUAGAUACCCUUGUAGUC